AUUGAACGCUGGCGGCAUGCCUUACACAUGCAAGUCGAACGGUAGAGGGGGCAACCCCUUGAGAGUGGCGAACGGGUGAGUAAUAUAUCGGAACGUGCCCAGUCGUGGGGGAUAACGUAGCGAAAGUUACGCUAAUACCGCAUACGAUCUAAGGAUGAAAGCGGGGGAUCGCAAGACCUCGCGCGAUUGGAGCGGCCGAUAUCAGAUUAGGUAGUUGGUGAGGUAAUGGCUCACCAAGGCGACGACUACGGGUAACUAGGGUCUGAGAGGAUGAUCAGUCACACUGGAACUGAGACA
rnacentral:rRNA from 1 species